rfam:Lentisphaerae bacterium GWF2_49_21 gwf2_scaffold_412, whole genome shotgun sequence.
CAAAUCCAACACGGGCAAAGGCUAACUACCAGCCCGGAACUAACCCGGGCGUAUGAGAGGGCAACUAAUUAUGCGAAGCCUUGGGAAAGGUGUUACAUCAGCCACAACGCAAGUGAAGGUAUUGAGCCCCGAAAUCUCCUUUUGUCGCAUUGGGUCAAGGAUUUCAUGUUCUGGAAGCCAGUAUCGGUACGCGCGACAUGGUGAGCGCGGAACCGGCGUGCCGGGGUCUAAGUCCG